AGAGUUUGAUCAUGGCUCAGGAUGAACGCUAGCGGCAGGCCUAAUACAUGCAAGUCGAACGAUACCAGGGAGCUUGCUCUCUGGGAAAGUGGCGCACGGGUGCGUAACGCGUAUGCAACCUACCUUUAUCAGGGGGAUAGCCUCUCGAAAGAGAGAUUAACACCGCAUAAAAUCAAAGAACGGCAUCGUUUAAUGAUCAAAUAUUUAUAGGAUAAAGAUGGGCAUGCGUGACAUUAGCUAGUUGGUGAGGUAACGGCUCACCAAGGCGACGAUGUCUAGGGGAUCUGAGAGGAUGACCCCCCACACUGGUACUGAGACACGGACCAGACUCCUACGGGAGGCAGCAGUAAGGAAUAUUGGUCAAUGGAGGCAACUCUGAACCAGCCAUGCCGCGUGCAGGAAGACGGCCCUAUGGGUUGUAAACUGCUUUUAUUCGGGAAUAAACCUCUUUACGUGUAGAGAGUUGAAUGUACCGAAAGAAUAAGGAUCGGCUAACUCCGUGCCAGCAGCCGCGGUAAUACGGAGGAUCCAAGCGUUAUCCGGAUUUAUUGGGUUUAAAGGGUGCGUAGGCGGCUUAUUAAGUCAGGGGUGAAAGACGGUGGCUCAACCAUCGCAGUGCCUUUGAUACUGAUGAGCUUGAAUACACUUGAGGUAGGCGGAAUGUGACAAGUAGCGGUGAAAUGCAUAGAUAUGUCACAGAACACCAAUUGCGAAGGCAGCUUACUAAGGUGCAAUUGACGCUGAGGCACGAAAGCGUGGGGAUCAAACAGGAUUAGAUACCCUGGUAGUCCACGCCCUAAACGAUGAAUACUCGAUGUUAGCGAUAUACAGUUAGCGUCUAAGCGAAAGCGUUAAGUAUUCCACCUGGGGAGUACGCCCGCAAGGGUGAAACUCAAAGGAAUUGACGG
rnacentral:rRNA from 1 species